GAACGAUGAAGCCGGAGAUCUGAUGA
rnacentral:piRNA from 1 species